rnacentral:lncRNA from 1 species
UAGGGAAGAAUGAAGGCAUACUUGUUCCUCAUAUACUGCUAAGUUAAAGAUUGGAUCCUUUGGAGAAGCAAGUUAUACAACCUGAUGAAGAUGUGCAUGUGUGUGGAUGGUGAAUAUGGUGGAUGGUAUAUGGACUCCUUUUUGUAUGAUCCUUCUCUCUCCUUGCUUUCUUUCUUUUGAGACAGGGGCCAUCUUUUUCUUUUCUCUUUUCUUCUUCUUUUUUUUCAUCAUGCUUUCAUGAGCAUGUACUUUUUUUUUCAUAGCCCAAGUCUUUGUCAUGAACUCACAUAGUUAAAGCUCUUUUUGAUUAGUCACACCCUUUGUAUAAAAGUAGAGUAAAAGGGGCAGAUGCCCGUACUUCUGAAAUAAGCAGGAUCCUGACAAUUGCUGCCUUUAAAAUAUGGGAACUAGCAGGGGAGGCUUUGUUUCCCCCUCCAGGGCCAAAACAACAUUAUUAUUAAAACAACUUUCCCUUUAAAAGCCCAAACGGUGUUACACUUUGAUAUAGAUACCUUUUUGCAUAUUAACCCUAACCUCUCCUUGAUUUACCCUACAUGUCAUUAACUCUUCAAUGUUAAGGUACUUGCUCAAUACUUCUGGCAAAAGUACUCAAUCUUGCUUGUUUUGCCAGGUCUUCUAGGGAGCCAGCUUUCAUUGUUCCGCUACAUCUUGAUUGUUGUUUGAUUACUCCUUAAAGGUGAAAUUGACACCGUCAUAACUCUUUCUAUUUUCUCUUCUUCUUACUUUGAUAAUCAUUCCGUUCAACACUGGUGUCAGACUCUGAUCCAGGGAAUGGCAUUGAAUUGCUUAAGUGUGGACACCCAAGGGGCGGUCCCCACAGGUGGAGAUUAAGAAGUGUUAUGAUUCAAAGACCUAGAAUGAGAAUCAGAAUUUUUGUCUAGGUUUUGAUUGUUGGACAUUUAUAUCUUGUACUAUAUAUAGAUCCUAUAUAAGAUAUCACCUUUUCCUCUCUCCC